CCGCGUGUGUGAAGAAGGUCUUCGGAUUGUAAAGCACUUUAAGUUGGGAGGAAGGGCAGUAAGUUAAUACCUUGCUGUUUUGACGUUACCAACAGAAUAAGCACCGGCUAACUUCGUGCCAGCAGCCGCGGUAAUACGAAGGGUGCAAGCGUUAAUCCGAAUUACUGGGCGUAAAGCGCGCGUAGUGGUUCGUUAAUUUGGAUGUGAAAACCCCGGGGCCCACCCUGGGAACUGCUCAAAAACGGGCAAGCAAAAGUAGG
rnacentral:rRNA from 1 species